rnacentral:rRNA from 1 species
AACGAACGCUGGCGGCAUGCCUAACACAUGCAAGUCGAACGAGACCUUCGGGUCUAGUGGCGCACGGGUGCGUAACGCGUGGGAACCUGCCCUUAGGCUCGGAAUAACACUCCGAAAGGGGUGCUAAUACCGGAUAAUGUCUUCGGACCAAAGAUUUAUCGCCCUUGGAUGGGCCCGCGUUGGUCUAGCCAGUUGGUAGGGUAAAAGCCUACCAAGGCGACGAUCCAUAGCUGGUCAGAGAGGAUGAUCAGCCACACUGGGACUGAGACACGGCCCAGACUCCUACGGAAGGCAGCAGUGGGGAAUAUUGGACAAUGGGCGAAAGCAUGAUCCAGCAAGGCCGCGUGAGUGAUGAAGGCCUUAAGGUUGUAAAGCUCUUUUACCCGGGAUGAUAAGGACAGUACCGGGAGAAUAAGCUCCGGCUAAUUCCGU